rnacentral:rRNA from 1 species
UACGUAGGUCCCAAGCAUUAUCCGGAUUUACUGGGUGUAAAGCGUCUGUAGCCGGUUUUGUAAGUCUAUUUUCAAAUACCUUGACUCAAUCAGGGGAAGGGAAUGGAUACUGCAUUACUGGAGUGGAUUGGGGGUUAGUGGAAUUUCUGGUGGAGCGGUGAAAUGCGUUGAUAUCAGAAGGAAUGCCAAAAGUGAAGACAGCUAACUACAAUUUUGCUGACGGUGAGAGACGAAAGCUUGGGUAGCAAACGGG